rnacentral:ncRNA from 1 species
CGACAGUGGUUGGUUAAGCAAACCCACGGGAGCCAUAGUGAAAGUGAGUCUUCAUAGGGUAAUUGUCAUUACUUAUGGAACCGAGCUUGAGGGAUUUAUAUAUGACCAAGAUGAAGCUCUAGUAAAACUAAGUGGUGGUCCAUACCAGCUGAUUUUGAAGAAUCAGUGGAUUAAUUGUGAUUAGGGGUAAAAUGCCACUCGAACACAAUUCUUCUCGA